rnacentral:piRNA from 1 species
UGAGCUCCUAUGUCUCAGGAUACCCUUCCUUU